rnacentral:miRNA from 1 species
UAUCACAGCCAUUUUUGACGAUU